GUGCCAGCCGCCGCGGUAAGACGAACCGUGCGAACGUUGUUCGGAAUCACUGGGCUUAAAGGGCGCGUAGGCGGGCGGUCAAGUCCGGGGUGAAAUCUUUCGGCUCAACCGGAAAAGGGCCUCGGAUACUGACUGUCUUGAGGAAGGUAGGGGCAUGCGGAACUUCCGGUGGAGCGGUGAAAUGCGUUGAUAUCGGAAGGAACGCCGGUGGCGAAAGCGGCGUGCUGGACCUUUACUGACGCUGAUGCGCGAAAGCCAGGGGAGCGAACGGGAUUAGAUACCCCAGUAGUCC
rnacentral:rRNA from 1 species